UAAUACAUGCAAGUCGAACGAUGAAAUUCUCUGCUUGCAGAGAAUGGAUUAGUGGCGAACGGGUGAGUAACACGUGGGUAACCUGCCCAUAAGAGGGGGAUAACAUUCGGAAACGGAUGCUAAUACCGCAUAUGUCUUUGAGACGCCUGUCUCUUAGAUGAAAGGUGGCUUCGGCUGCCGCUUAUGGAUGGACCCGCGGCGUAUUAGCUAGUUGGUAAGGUAAUGGCUUACCAAGGCUUUGAUACGUAGCCGACCUGAGAGGGUGAUCGGCCACACUGGGACUGAGACACGGCCCAGACUCCUACGGGAGGCAGCAGUAGGGAAUCUUCCACAAUGGGUGAAAACCUGAUGGAGCAAUACCGCGUGAGUGAAGAAGGUCUUCGGAUCGUAAAGCUCUGUUGUUAGAGAAGAAUAAGUCGGGUAGUAACUGCCCCGACCUUGACGGUAUCUAACCAGAAAGUCACGGCUAACUACGUGCCAGCAGCCGCGGUAAUACGUAGGUGACAAGCGUUGUCCGGAUUUAUUGGGCGUAAAGCGAGCGCAGGCGGUCUUUUAAGUCUGAUGUGAAAGCCCACGGCUCAACCGUGGAAGGUCAUUGGAAACUGGAAGACUUGAAUGC
rnacentral:rRNA from 1 species